CGCAGAGUCCCGGAUGAAGCCAUGCCUGCAGUUGGCCCUGUUGCUGGACUGCUCACCGACAUGAGCUAGCACAUUCUCCUUCUGUGUGAGCAGUUUCGCUUGGAAUUUCUAUCACCUUCAACAGAAAGGUCCCUAAUCAGUGUACCUUGGCAUCAGUGAGCCUUGAGAACAGACUUCAUUUACAAAACAGGUGGAAGCCAUCAUUCGAGGGAUUGAAAACUGAGAGAAGUAGGAACUCCUUUGAAGUUUUGCUAAAGCAGCUGAAGAGAGAAAGGCAAUCUAGUCUUCUCAAAGUUAAAGUACCAACGCCCCGUAAGGAGUGCAGUCAUUGUGUACUGCAAACAUGUGCUAAUGAAAAAAGGAAAACUGAGAGAAAAAUGAAUACCCCGGGGGAAAAAACAA
rnacentral:lncRNA from 1 species